rnacentral:rRNA from 1 species
UACGGAGAGUGCAAACGUUGUUCGGAUUCACUGGGCGUAAAGGGCACGUAGGCGGCUCGGCAAAUCGGUCGUGGAAUCCCGACGCUUACCGUCGGAACGGCGGCCGAAAAUACCGGGCUCGAGGGCGUGAGGGGUCACUGGAACUCCUGGUGAAGCGGUGAAAUGCGUAGAUAUCAGGAGGAACGCCGGAGGCGAAAGCGCUCUGCUAGGCCGCAACUGACACUGAGGGACGAAAGCUAGGGGAGCGAAUGGG